rnacentral:rRNA from 1 species
GACCUCAAAUCAGGUAGGACUACCCGCUGAACUUAAGCAUAUCAAUAAGCGGAGGAAAAGAAACUAACAAGGAUUCCCCUAGUAACUGCGAGUGAAGCGGGAAAAGCUCAAAUUUAAAAUCUGACAGUCUUUGGCUGUCCGAGUUGUAAUCUAGAGAAGUGUUAUCCGCGCUGGACCGUGUACAAGUCUCCUGGAAUGGAGCGUCAUAGAGGGUGAGAAUCCCGUCUUUGACACGGACUACCAGGGCUUUGUGAUGCGCUCUCAAAGAGUCGAGUUGUUUGGGAAUGCAGCUCAAAAUGGGUGGUAAAUUCCAUCUAAAGCUAAAUAUUGGCGAGAGACCGAUAGCGAACAAGUACCGUGAGGGAAAGAUGAAAAGAACUUUGGAAAGAGAGUUAAACAGUACGUGAAAUUGCUGAAAGGGAAACGCUUGAAGUCAGUCGCGUUGUCCAGGGAUCAACCUUGCUUUUGCUUGGUGCACUUUCUGGUUGACGGGUCAGCAUCAAUUUUGACCAUUGGAAAAAGAUUAAGGGAAUGUGGCAUCUUUGGAUGUGUUAUAGCCCUUGGUUGCAUACGAUGGUUGGGAUUGAGGAACUCAGCACGCCGCAAGGCCGGGUUUAACC